GUGUCAGCCGCCGCGGUAAUACGGAGGGUGCGAGCGUUAUCCGGAUUCACUGGGUUUAAAGGGAGCGUAGGCGGGCAUGUAAGUCAGUGGUGAAAUCUUGGGGCUCAACCCCGAAACUGCCAUUGAUACUAUAUGCCUUGAAUGUCGUUGAGGUUUGCGGAAUAUGUCAUGUAGCGGUGAAAUGCUUAGAUAUGACAUAGAACACCGAUUGCGAAGGCAGCAGGCUAAACGAAUAUUGACGCUGAGGCUCGAAAGCGUGGGGAUCAAACAGGAUUAGAUACCCCCGUAGUCC
rnacentral:rRNA from 1 species